UGGAGUAUAGCCAAGUGGUAAGGCAUCGGUUUUUGGUACAGGCAUGCAAAGGCUCGAAUCCUUUUACUCCAG
rfam:Nicotiana attenuata strain TT chromosome 10, whole genome shotgun sequence.